CGGAACGUACCAUUCAGUGGGGGAUAACGUAGCGAAAGUUACGCUAAUACCGCAUAUUCUGUGAGCAGGAAAGCAGGGGAUCGCAAGACCUUGCGCUGAUUGAGCGGCCGAUAUCAGAUUAGCUAGUUGGUGAGGUAAAAGCUCACCAAGGCGACGAUCUGUAGCGGGUCUGAGAGGAUGAUCCGCCACACUGGAACUGAGACACGGUCCAGACUCCUACGGGAGGCAGCAGUGGGGAAUUUUGGACAAUGGGGGCAACCCUGAUCCAGCCAUGCCGCGUGAGUGAAGAAGGCCUUCGGGUUGUAAAGCUCUUUCAGCCGGGAAGAAAACGCAUGGGUUAAUACCCUGUGUGGAUGACGGUACCGGAAUAAGAAGCACCGGCUAACUACGCGCCAGCAGCCGCGGUAAUACGUAGGGUGCGAGCGUUAAUCGGAAUUACUGGGCGUAAAGCGUGCGCAGGCGGUUUUGUAAGACAGGCGUGAAAUCCCCGGGCUUAACCUGGGAACUGCGUUUGUGACUGCAAGACUAGAGUACGGCAGAGGGGGGUGGAAUUCCACGUGUAGCAGUGAAAUGCGUAGAGAUGUGGAGGAACACCAAUGGCGAAGGCAGCCCCCUGGGUCGAUACUGACGCUCAUGCACGAAAGCGUGGGUAGCAAACAGGAUUAGAUACCCUGGUAGUCCACGCCCUAAACGAUGUCAACUAGGUGUUGGGAGGGUAAAACCUUUUAGUACCGGAGCUAACGCGUGAAGUUGACCGCCUGGGGAGUACGGCCGCAAGGUUAAAACUCAAAGGAAUUGACGGGGACCCGCACAAGCGGUGGAUGAUGUGGAUUAAUUCGAUGCAACGCGAAGAACCUUACCUACCCUUGACAUGCCAAGAACUUUCCAGAGAUGGAUUGGUGCCCGAAAGGGAACUUGGACACAGGUGCUGCAUGGCUGUCGUCAGCUCGUGUCGUGAGAUGUUGGGUUAAGUCCCGCAACGAGCGCAACCCUUGUCGUUAAUUGCCAUCAUUUAGUUGGGCACUUUAACGAGACUGCCGGUGACAAACCGGAGGAAGGUGGGGAUGACGUCAAGUCCUCAUGGCCCUUAUGGGUAGGGCUUCACACGUCAUACAAUGGUCGGUACAAAGGGUCGCCAAGCCGCGAGGUGGAGCCAAUCCCAGAAAGCCGAUCGUAGUCCGGAUCGCAGUCUGCAACUCGACUGCGUGAAGUCGGAAUCGCUAGUAAUCGUGGAUCAGCAUGUCACGGUGAAUACGUUCCCGGGUCUUGUACACACCGCCCGUCACACCAUGGGAGCGGGUUCCGCCAGAAGUAGGUAGCCUAACCGCAAGGAGGGCGCUUACCACGGCGGGGUUCGUGACUGGGGUGAAGUCGUAACAAGGUA
rnacentral:rRNA from 1 species